AAUUUGGUAUAUGCUCUGCGGGCCAUGCAAGCCUUGAAUCAGCACCAUCUCUCUUUGGCGUCCUGCGAGCCUUGGUUUCUCCAGAUCGUUCGAGGAACAUGAAUCGAUUCUCUUCAAACUUGCCAAACGUUUGACUGUAUGUGGAGUUCAAGUUUCCAGUCAAACUUUACUAUUCGUUCCGGAGCACAUGAUAGUGGAUGUAAGGGGAGCUUGUACUUAAACGAAGACUACAUUUACUGGUAGAUCUCAUGUACCAUGCCUGCAACUCCCAUCUCCUGGAAGGAAGAAGAGCGUCUACCCAAACGAUCCAGGUCCUUGUCUAUCACUUUUGCUGCAUCUGUUCCUCAUCCUGUAUCCUGCAGCUUGACGUUGUUUUCUCAUGUCCGAGUCUGCGUUACCUCUCUCGGAGGCCUAAUGAUCCGCAGCAGCAGCAGCAGGUCGAAGGUGAUGACAGUGAGGUGGUCCACGGAGAUGGGCUCAUAACCCAGGGCAAGCCUCCCUCAAAGAACUCCUGAACUCCCGCUUUGAACCGGCCAUCACAACCGCCGCCAUCGCCUUCCUUGUCUUCCUCCUCUUCGUAGCCAUGACUUGGACCAUACGUAUCAGACAUACCAUCAAACACUUGGCAGUAAAAGCUUCUGCGAAGACAAGGUUGGCACCAAGACCCACCGUUAAGCGGGGCCGGCAUGGUGCGCUCACCGUUAAGCCGCUGCAUGUGAUGCCACAAGCUACAUGGGUGGGAACGAGUGCUCCCCAAUACGGUGGCCUCCGUCGAGGAGCUUCGGCUGUCUUUGGUGGAGAGGAAUCAUCUCGACCGUCCAUGGGUCGGAUGGUGGGUUGGGUGGGUCCAUGACCGCCCUUGUCAUCUCGCUCUCGUUUGGCUUCAUAUGGUCACAUGGAUCUCUCUCUGUCAUAAUGGGUGUGGAUCAGAUAUAUACUGCAAAUUUGGAUCCGUAUGGCCCACAGAAUCUGGGAACUCCCGACAUCGUCAUGUGGGCUUCAGUGCCACAAGCUUGUGUUGUAGAUGGAGCUGCUCCAGUGGCUUCUUCGGCCACGAGAUCUUUGCCGCGAUCUUUCUCAGAAUGGGUUCGGUGAUUCAUCUGCAAGCCAAAGUCCGAACCCGACAAGUGUGUGGGCCGGGCCCCUGCUUAAAGACCUGUGCCAGAGGCUGCAAAAUACGUGAAGACUUAACAUGGUGAUUAAAAGAUUCAUUUUGUAAGUGGAAGUUUCUUCCGCUUUCACAUAGUAAAAAAAGAUGUGCUUGGAUUUGGUCCGACAAUAAAUUCCAGGACCUGAUCUACGUUGACUUAGGACAAAUCCAGUAAUGAAUUCCGGGACCUGAUCUACGUUGACUUUGAGCUCUUAUGGUAGAAAUUUGCUGACCUGUGUGUGUAUUGGAAGCACGCGCGGCUUUUGAGCAAUCAAAGGCGGCUAGCAGCUGUGUAUGGACGCGACAAGUUUGACUGCCGGCUUCCUUGUGGCUGGGAUCCCUGUUGAAUUGGUUUCUGAACACAGAUGAGGUACUACUGGCGGCUUCCUCGUGGCUGGGAUUGAAGAAGCGAAAGCAAAUGUUGCCGGGAGAAAAGUCCUCGUGAUGGAGAUGGAAUGGUGACCGGGUCAAGCUCUUUCGAGUUCUGCUCAGCCUGCAGUAUGCGGAGGGCCCUCGAUGGAGCGCUGAAUGAAUACUUGCAUAAACACCGAUUUAAGGUGGCGAUC